rnacentral:rRNA from 1 species
UAAAACGUAGGGGGCUAGCAUUGUCCGGAUUUAUUGGGCGUAAAGAGCACGUAGGCGGCUCAAUAAGUCAACUGUGAAAACUUCAGGCUUAACCUGAAGAUUGCAGUUGAAACUGUUGAGCUUGAGUUCAGUAGAGGAGAAUGGAAUUCCUAGUGUAGCGGUGAAAUGCGCAGAUAUUAGGAAGAACACCAGUAGCGAAGGCGGUUCUCUGGACUGUAACUGACGCUGAGGUGCGAAAGCUAGGGGAGCGAACAGGAUUAGAUACCCUGGUAGUCCUAGCCGUAAACGAUGGGCACUAGGUGUGGGGGGUUUAAAUCCUUCUGUGCCGGAGCUAACGCAUUAAGUGCCCCGCCUGGGGAGUACGACCGCAAGGUUA